ACCGAAAUAGCUCAGUUGGGAGAGCGUUAGACUAUAGAUCGAAAGGCCCCUGGUUCGAUCCCGGGGUUCGGCA
rnacentral:tRNA from 1 species